GGCUUUGGAAAGCUAAUGAGUCGUUUCUGGUAUGUGUUUAACCUCUGCAGAUUUAACUCCACAAACUUGUAAAAGUGCUUGAGAAGAAGAGAGAUGACUAUGAAUAACCUGGGUGAUUUGCCCACCAGUCUAUUAGUGAGCACGCAGCCGGAGUGAGAGGAAUUUGAGGAUGAGCAGCGCAGGACUGGUGUCUUGGUGGAGCCAUUGGGGGCGGAAAGCUGUCCUGAGCGAGUCCUGCGUCGUCGUGGAUCUUGCCGCACAGUUGCAAGGACAGGAGGUAUGGCCUAGAAAAGCCUGUAAUUGGAAGACCGUUUGAUCCCCAACUUGGCCACUGCAAAGAGAGUAGAAUCUAAGAGAAAAUGGUCCUGUUGUGUCACUGAGAUACAUCUUCAAUAGGUAAGUAGUGAAAAUUGGGACGGGACAAAGCCACGUGACAUUAUUCAUAUUGCAUGAAAGUGGUGACAGUUUCCCACUAUGACUCAUAGUGUUCCUUUUGUAAGGUAAGAAAUUUCAGAAUUUACUACCCUCCAAAGCUUUGUUUCCCUCAGAAACUUCUAGGCUUUGUCACUUUGACAAGGACCGCUGGCGUUAACAGUGCAUCUGGGGAGCUCAGCUGCAGCAGCUACGUUGAUUCUUAUGGGUUCAGUAUUUCCUUCCUUUCGCCCUCAGUGCCGAUAAUUUCUGUUUUGCUAACUUUUCUGUAUAUAUGUGCCUGACCGGUCUUUUGAGCAAAUUAAGUGAAGUAGAAAUAAACAUGAAAACUAAAAGAUUGAGCAAGCAAGAGGACAGCUAGAGAAUCUGCUAUGGGAGUCCAGGGAACACCAGGACAGCCAGAGGGUCAGGGAACUGAGAAGCCACAUGCAGAAAGAGGCUGAGCCACAGAAAGCAGGAGGCCAUUUGGAUAAACACUUGACAUCUCUGUAUAGUACUGAGGUCGGAGGAGGCCCGGAAGGAAUUUUCAGGGAAGAGCUAUUAUAGACUGAGAACUUCCCUUUUGAGCCUCCCUAAA